CAGCAGACCGGCCCUACCUGGCUUCCAUGGCAACAGCAUUAUAUUGGCAGCCCUGGGAACGAGAAGUCUGGACGCUACCAUGCGUUUGGAAAGCUUCUCAGGAAGUUGGCCCGUGGCUGUCUAGCUGCCAGCCCCUGGGACUCCUAAGAACUAAAUGUUUUCUUCCACAAGUUGUAAAACUAAGCAAAGAAGAAAAUCCCCUUUGGCCUGUGAGGAAAUGCUCUAAGCGUGUUUCUUCACGGACCUUUUGAAGGACAUCUUGGUUGCUUCCAAGUGUGGGCAGCUAUGAAUAAAGCUGCUAUGAACAUUCACCUGCAGGUUAAGGAACAUAUUUGAUGGAUUGCAUGGAAACCAACAUAUUCCAUCUCCUGAACUCAGAGACCCCAGGUCCCUACCCCAACUUCA